GAUGAACGCUGGCGGCGUGCUUAACAUAUGCAAGUCGAACGGUGAAGGCGGAGCUUGCUCUGCUGGAUCAGUGGCGAACGGGUGAGUAACACGUGAGCAAUCUGCCCCUGACUCUGGGAUAAGCGCUGGAAACGGCGUCUAAUACUGGAUACGAGCUGCGAAGGCAUCUUCAGCAGCUGGAAAGAACUUCGGUCAGGGAUGAGCUCGCGGCCUAUCAGCUUGUUGGUGAGGUAACGGCUCACCAAGGCGUCGACGGGUGGCCGGCCUGAGAGGGUGACCGGCCACACUGGGACUGAGACACGGCCCAGACUCCUACGGGAGGCAGCAGUGGGGAAUAUUGCACAAUGGGCGAAAGCCUGAUGCAGCAACGCCGCGUGAGGGACGACGGCCUUCGGGUUGUAAACCUCUUUUAGCAGGGAAGAAGCGAAAGUGACGGUACCUGCAGAAAAAGCGCCGGCUAACUACGUG
rnacentral:rRNA from 1 species